GCUCAGAUGUACAGAAGCUCCUGUUUAACUGGAAGAACCUGAUCGGGUGAUCAUCGUCCACGGCCAGUUCCUUCUCUAUCUCCUGAAAUUGUAGAUUGAGUGAGUGCCACCAAUGGCAGCUGCUUUUCCUGAACACUCUGCUCCUGGAGAGUUUGGUCCACAGCAGUAGCUAAAUACGUGUGCAGCGUGUACGUCUUCUCAUGGCCUUCAUCGUUAUUUAUGAACUAACUUCGAAGGGAAGUCAUUUCCAUCCAGAAAACCUGACAUACGCUUUUCCAUACCCACCCAUGCAUAGAGAUAAGAAAACUGUGCUCUUUUACUAUUCUGGCAAGCAGGAGGCAACGUUUUCCAGAUGCCGUUAUGGGCAGCCCCGAGCCAUCCACUGCGUAUCCCAGAAAGCCAAAUGGCCCAAAGCCUCCAUUCCUAAGUCACUCUCCAGUCCCCAAACAUGUCACAAUCUCUCAUACCUCCUGACCUUGGCCCAGGCUGCCUCUUGGUAGAAUGGCCCCACCCCCACCCUACCCUCACAGCCCCUUCAACCACAAGACCUGGGUCCAGGUCAAAUGGCCCAGAUCCUCCUCUCUAAAUGCUUCCUUCUAAGAAGGAGCCCCUCCCCCUCUACUGUCCAUCCCCUCCAGUAUUGUGGGGGCUCCCUGAGGGCGAGGACCAGCCCCUAUUCACAGUGAAUACUGGACUGCAUCACAUGCCCUGGCAUCUGCAGUAGACAGAAGCCAAGACCCUUGUGCCCUGCAAAUCUUCACUGCCAGCUUCAGCUCUUCCAAAAUAAAAGCUGACUUUUAAAAGUAA